GGAAGCCCCAGCCUUUGUCCCGCCCCAUUCAGCGGCUCCAGGGCAUCAUCACACCAAGUGCAAACCCUCCUGAGGAGUGAGGUCCCAGGGCUCUGUGCACAAAGUGGGCAAACUCCCCAAAGCUGGAUGGUGACUCCAUCACUUCCCUGGACAGCCUGUUCUUCAGUGCUUGAUAACCAUUCUGGGGAAGAAAUUCUUCCUGGUAUCCAGCUUAAACCUUUCCUGGUGCAACUUGAGGCUGUUUCCUUGUCCUAUCACUUGUUACCUAGGAGAAGAGACCAACCCCCACCUGGCUACAUCCUUCUGGCUGGACUUAGAAGCAGACCUUUAAACUAGAUUUGACAGACAGCUACAGCAGUUCUGUUAUUUGCUUUUUCUCCACAUAUGAGAUUCGGAUUGAAUGCAAUGACUUUACAGAGAUGUGACAGACAUCCCUGCUGCUCUUCAGCCUUUCUGAUAAAUCUGAAAGCAAUAUAUCCUGCAUGAUACAUGAUUCUGUUGAAAAAUGCUUAGUCUCCAAAUGUCUGCCCUACUAGUUUUUGGAAUGACCCUGAGUAACAACGGGCUAAAUUCAUCAAUAGUGAAAUUUCACAGAUUAUGAAGAAGAGGGUUUGUCUGUACUGCACAUGAGCGAGAGGCUCACACAGAGCUGCUGGAAACCAACUGGCUGUGGCAUCAGAGGGGUUGGAGCUUCUUGGUGGUGAGGGCUGUGUGAAGUACCAGGCUCUCACAGUUACAUGCCCCUGGAAUUUGCACUUAAUAAAGCUAUUUUGGAUGUAUAGU